GAUGACUUUGGGUUUCAGAUGAAUUUGUGGUUCCGAGUUCAAGCCGAAGCUUUGAUCCUGUGUUCUGAGAGACACAGCCAACCAGUCCGGUCCGCAUCAUUUGCAUCAUAGCAUAUUUAUUUUUCAAAAGAAACGCAAUAAAAAAAAGAUACAAAAAAAAAGAAAAGGGGAAAAAGAAAACAAAAAAAACUAAUCCCUGCAUGCAUAUCAUUUCU
rnacentral:lncRNA from 1 species